ACAAGCCCCAUAACUUCGGGAGAAGGGGUGCCUCCUCACAAAGGGGGUCGCAGUGACCAGGCUCGGGCGACUGUUUACCAAAAACACAGGUCUCCGCAAAGUCGUAAGACUAUGUAUGGGGGCUAACGCCUGCCCAGUGCCGGAAGGUCAAGGAAGUUGGUGACCUGAUGACAGGAGAGCCAGCGACUGAAGCCCCGAUAAAUGGCGGCUGUAACUAUAAUGGUCCUAAGUGAGCAAAAUUUCUUGUCGGGUAAGUUCCAACCCGCACGAAAGGCAUAACGAUCUGUGCACCG
rnacentral:ncRNA from 1 species